rnacentral:lncRNA from 1 species
CCAUGUUGGACAUGAAAUCUUGUUAUUUCUGUUGACAACAUGUACAUGUAGCAGGUUGAGAACCACUCCAAAUGAGAGGCAUCACAAAAAUAUUGGACAAAGACUGCUAGAUAAGGGGAUGUUUUGUUAUAGUCUAAGAAAAUGAAGGAAAAAAAAUAAGCCUCUAUAACUUAAGGAUGUAACCACAGGGGCUUGUUACAAUUGCCGGG